UACGUAGGGUGCAAGCGUUGUCCGGAUUUAUUGGGCGUAAAGAGCGUGUAGGCGGCUAGGUAGGUCCGUUGUGAAAACUCGAGGCUCAACCUCGAGACGCCGAUGGAAACCAUCUGGCUAGAGUCCGGAAGAGGAGAGUGGAAUUCCUGGUGUAGCGGUGAAAUGCGCAGAUAUCAGGAAGAACACCCGUGGCUAAGGCGGCUCUCUAGUACGGUACUGACGCUGAGACGCGAAAGCGUGGGGAGCGAACAGG
rnacentral:rRNA from 1 species